UACGUAGGGUGCGAGCGUUGUCCGGAAUUAUUGGGCGUAAAGAGCUCGUAGGCGGUUUGUUGCGUCGGCCGUGAAAACCUGCAGCUUAACUGUGGGCCUGCGGCCGAUACGGGCAGACUUGAGUUCGGUAGGGGAGACUGGAAUUCCUGGUGUAGCGGUGAAAUGCGCAGAUAUCAGGAGGAACACCUGCGGCGAAGGCGGGUUGCUGGGCUGACACGUGACGCUGAGGCGCGAAAGCUAGGGGAGCGAACGGG
rnacentral:rRNA from 1 species